GACGAACGCUGGCGGCGUGCCUAAUACAUGCAAGUCGAGCGGAUGGAAGGAAGCUUGCUUCCUAAAGUCAGCGGCGGACGGGUGAGUAACACGUGGGCAACCUGCCCCUAAGAUCGGGAUAACUUCGGGAAACCGGAGCUAAUACCGGAUAUGAUUAUGUCUCACAUGAGACGUAAUGGAAAGACGGUUUCGGCUGUCACUUAGGGAUGGGCCCGCGGCGCAUUAGCUAGUUGGUGAGGUAACGGCUCACCAAGGCGAAGAUGCGUAGCCGACCUGAGAGGGUGAUCGGCCACACUGGGACUGAGACACGGCCCAGACUCCUACGGGAGGCAGCAGUGGGGAAUUUUUCGCAAUGGGGGAAACCCUGACGAAGCAACGCCGCGUGGAGGAUGAAGGCCUUCGGGUCGUAAACUCCUGUCGACUGGGAAGAAUGCACCUGACCUAAUACGUCAAAGUGUUGACUGUACCGGUGGAGGAAGCCACGGCUAACUCUGUGCCAGCCGCCGCGGUAAGAC
rnacentral:rRNA from 1 species